CGAAAGCCUGACGGAGCAAGGCCGCGUGGAGGUAGAAGGCCCACGGGUCGUAAACUCCUUUUCUCAGAGAAGAAGUAAUGACGGUAUCUGAGGAAUAAGCAUCGGCUAACUCUGUGCCAGCAGCCGCGGUAAGACAGAGGAUGCAAGCGUUAUCCGGAAUGAUUGGGCGUAAAGCGUCCGCAGGUGGCAGUUCAAGUCUGCUGUCAAAGACCGGGGCUUAACUUCGGAAAGGCAGUGGAAACUGAACAGCUAGAGUAUGGUAGGGGCAGAGGGAAUUCCUGGUGUAGCGGUGAAAUGCGUAGAGAUCAGGAAGAACAUCGGUGGCGAAGGCGCUCUGCUGGACCAUAACUGACACUCAGGGACGAAAGCUAGGGGAGCG
rnacentral:rRNA from 1 species